GAUGCACAAAUGUUUCUGUUUUCCCAACACGCCAUGCAUUUGCUAAUUUGUCCAGAUUUCGCACAUAUUAUAACUUCGGGUACUAACAUAGCGACCACAGGUACCUCCACCAAAUGUAACGGGGAUUUUUUGUGUGUGUAUGUGUUUUGGAACUACAUGUCAUUAUUUCGGGAAUAUGUAUGCGGGAUCGAUAACUCCAUCUUGCCCG
rnacentral:lncRNA from 1 species